ACUCCUGCGGGAGGCAGCAGUGGGGAAUUUUGGACAAUGGGUGAAAGCCUGAUCCAGCCAUGCCGCGUGCAGGAUGAAGGCCUUCGGGUUGUAAACUGCUUUUGUACGGAACGAAACGGCCUUUUCUAAUAAAGAGGGCUAAUGACGGUACCGUAAGAAUAAGCACCGGCUAACUACGUGCCAGCAGCCGCGGUAAUACGUAGGGUGCAAGCGUUAAUCGGAAUUACUGGGCGUAAAGCGUGCGCAGGCGGUUAUGUAAGACAGUUGUGAAAUCCCCGGGCUCAACCUGGGAACUGCAUCUGUGACUGCAUAGCUAGAGUACGGUAGAGGGGGAUGGAAUUCCGCGUGUAGCAGUGAAAUGCGUAGAUAUGCGGAGGAACACCGAUGGCGAAGGCAAUCCCCUGGACCUGUACUGACGCUCAUGCACGAAAGCGUGGGGAGCAAACAGGAUUAGAUACCCUGGUAGUCCCA
rnacentral:rRNA from 1 species